CGAACGGGUGAGUAACACGUGGGCAACCUGCCCUCAGCUCUGGGAUAACUCCGGGAAACCGGUGCUAAUACUGGAUAUCGACUUCUGCUCGCAUGGGUGGUUGUUGAAAGUUUUUCGGCUGGGGAUGGGCCCGCGGCCUAUCAGCUUGUUGGUGGGGUGAUGGCCUACCAAGGCGACGACGGGUAGCCGGCCUGAGAGGGCGACCGGCCACACUGGGACUGAGACACGGCCCAG
rnacentral:rRNA from 1 species